UGCAGUCGAGCGAACAGACAGGAGCUUGCUCCUUUGACGUUAGCGGCGGACGGGUGAGUAACACGUGGGUAACCUACCUAUAAGACUGGGAUAACUUCGGGAAACCGGAGCUAAUACCGGAUAAUAUUUCGAACCGCAUGGUUCGAUAGUGAAAGAUGGUUUUGCUAUCACUUAUAGAUGGACCCGCGCCGUAUUAGCUAGUUGGUAAGGUAACGGCUUACCAAGGCGACGAUACGUAGCCGACCUGAGAGGGUGAUCGGCCACACUGGAACUGAGACACGGUCCAGACUCCUACGGGAGGCAGCAGUAGGGAAUCUUCCGCAAUGGGCGAAAGCCUGACGGAGCAACGCCGCGUGAGUGAUGAAGGUCUUCGGAUCGUAAAACUCUGUUAUUAGGGAAGAACAUACGUGUAAGUAACUGUGCACGUCUUGACGGUACCUAAUCAGAAAGCCACGGCUAACUACGUGCCAGCAGCCGCGGUAAUACGUAGGUGGCAAGCGUUAUCCGGAAUUAUUGGGCGUAAAGCGCGCGUAGGCGGUUUUUUAAGUCUGAUGUGAAAGCCCACGGCUCAACCGUGGAGGGUCAUUGGAAACUGGAAAACUUGAGUGCAGAAGAGGAAAGUGGAAUUCCAUGUGUAGCGGUGAAAUGCGCAGAGAUAUGGAGGAACACCAGUGGCGAAGGCGACUUUCUGGUCUGUAACUGACGCUGAUGUGCGAAAGCGUGGGGAUCAAACAGGAUUAGAUACCCUGGUAGUCCACGCCGUAACGAUGAGUGCUAAGUGUUA
rnacentral:rRNA from 1 species